UUCGUGUAACGCCAAUGUGUGCGCCCAUUCCUUGUUAGUUCACUCAACCAAUCACCUCGGGGAAGGUCUGAGACAAGAGCCAAUAGCUACCCUUGCAGGGUAUCACCUGAUGUGGGUGAGCAAGUGAACAGAAAUAAUGGGCCACAGCAUGCAUGUUCUCACAGGAGAACAUCAGCUGGCAAAUAGAGUGCAGUAUAUGAGGUGGGGUACUGCUCCAGAACCCAAUUCAGACUACUCUCCACCCAAA
rnacentral:RNase_P_RNA from 1 species